UACGUAGGGAGCAAGCGUUGUCCGGAUUUAUUGGGCGUAAAGAGCUCGUAGGCGGUUUAGAAAGUCGGGUGUGAAACCUCCAGGCUCAACCUGGAGCCGCCACUCGAUACUUCUAUGACUUGAGUUCGGUAGGGGAUCACGGAAUUCCUGGUGUAGCGGUGAAAUGCGCAGAUAUCAGGAGGAACACCGAUGGCGAAGGCAGUGAUCUGGGCCGAUACUGACGCUGAGGAGCGAAAGCGUGGGGAGCGAACAGG
rnacentral:rRNA from 1 species